CGGGCAAGGAGGGCGCAAGGGGGGGGGGGCGAGGAAAGGGAAUGCUUUCACUUUCCUCGCCCCCCCCUUGCGCCCUCCUUGCCCGCGUUCCGAAUU
rnacentral:miRNA from 1 species